rnacentral:rRNA from 1 species
UCCGGAGGGGGCUAGCGUUGUUCGGAAUUACUGGGCGUAAAGCGCACGUAGGCGGACGAGAAAGUCAGAGGUGAGAUCCCAGGGCUCAACCCUGGAACUGCCUUUGAAACUCCUUGUCUUGAGGUCGAGAGAGGUGAGUGGAAUUCCGAGUGUAGAGGUGAAAUUCGUAGAUAUUCGGAGGAACACCAGUGGCGAAGGCGGCUCACUGGCUCGAUACUGACGCUGAGGUGCGAAAGCGUGGGGAGCAAACAGG